rnacentral:snoRNA from 1 species
UUGUAUUCUUUUGGCCUUUGCUAUUCUAAUUGUGGGGUCUUUAGCAACAAUGCACAAAAUGAAAGCCAUUCAGUCGAUAGUGGUCAGACAACCACUGGGAUGGAUCCACAAAUGACUGACUAUAGUUUCAGUUUGUUCUUUGAUACCAUCUCACAUAC